GACGAACGCUGGCGGCGUGCUUAACACAUGCAAGUCGAACGAAGUGGCGAACGGGUGAGUAACGCGUAAUCAACCUGCUCUUCAGAGGGGGACAACAGUUGGAAACGAAUGUUAAUCCCGCAUACUGAAGGGGUGGAUUGAGUCUGAUUAGCUAGGUGGCGGGGUAACGGCCCACCAAGGCGAUGAUCAGUAGGCGGGCUGAGAGGAUUAACCAGCACAAUGGGACCUGGACACCGGCCAGGCUCCGACGGGAGGGAGCAGGGGGGAAACUUCCGAAAUGGAGCGAAGGCCGACUGAGCAACGCCCGGGGGGUGAUGACGGGCUUCGGGUUGUAAAGCUCUGUUCAUCGGGACGCGGUACCUGAAGAGAAAGCAACGGCUAACUACGUGCCAGCAGCCGCGGUAAUAC
rnacentral:rRNA from 1 species